rnacentral:misc_RNA from 1 species
CCGAGUACCGGAGCCCUCGGGUUCCUACUCCCACCCUAUGUUGACUUUACAUGUUGCUUUGGCGGACCGGGUUAAACCGCCGGCCCCGGCUGGAUAGCGUCCGCCAGAGGAUUUUUAAAAACUCUGUAAUUGUGAAUUCCGAGUAUCAAGAAAUUGAAUCA